ensembl:miRNA
GGCAUGGAAUCCUGUGGCAUCCACAAAAGUACCUUCAACUCCACCAUGAAGUGUGACGUGGACAUCCUCAAAGACCUCUACGCC